CAAGGUGGUUGGAUAGCUGCGCCGGGAUUUCUUCCGGUGAGGAAAGUCCGAGCGUCAUGGAAACGGGGCACCGGAUAACGUCCGGCUGGAGAAAUCUAAGGGAAAGUGCCACAGAAAAUUACCGCCAAAAUUAUUUUGGUAAGGUUGAAAAGGCGAGGUAAGAGCUCACCGCAAAGAUAGUAAUAUCCUUUGGCAAGGCAAACCCUGCCCGACGCAAGACCAAAUUAGGAGGGCGGCUUUAAGCCGUUACAUGGGGCGUUUCCACCCUGCUCCAGAGGUAGGUCGCUCGAACCGAAUGGCGACAUUCGGUCCAGAUGAAUAGCUAUCGCUUUGAAUCUUUGCCUUCGGGUAAAGCAAAUGACAAGUACAGAACUCGGCUUACAGACCACCUUUGAUU
rfam:Acetobacter sp. CAG:267 genomic scaffold, scf16